rnacentral:lncRNA from 1 species
UGUGGGCUGCAGCCGCAGCCCGGCCCGUCCCCCGUGUACUCGCUGGACCCGGCGCGCUUCGGGGACCUUUGUCUGGCCGGCACCGCCGAGGUGGGAAUCGCGGGGUACUUCAUGGAUCACGCCGUGCGCCUGGAGGAUCUGCCCAUCAGGGUCGUUUGCUCCAGCACCUGCUACCGGGCAGAGACGGAGACGGGCCGGGAGCCGUGGGGGCUCUACCGCGUGCACCAGUUCAC